rnacentral:rRNA from 1 species
UACAGAGGUCCCAAGCGUUACUGAGAAUCACUGGGUUUAAAGGGUGCGUAGGUGGCGCGUUAAGUCAGUUGUGAAAUCCCCGGGCUCAACCCGGGAACUGCUUCUGAUACUGGCGUGCUUGAGGCCAGUAGGGGCCACUAGAACUGACGGUGGAGCGGUGAAAUGCGUAGAUAUCGUCAGGAAUGCCGGUGGUGAAGACGGGUGACUGGGCUGGUUCUGACACUGAGGCACGAAAGCGUGGGGAGCGAACGGG